rnacentral:rRNA from 1 species
ACGCUCGACACCUACGGGAGGCAGCAGUGGGGAAUAUUGCACAAUGGGGGAAACCCUGAUGCAGCGACGCCGCGUGAGCGAAGAAGUAUUUCGGUAUGUAAAGCUCUAUCAGCAGGGAAGAAACUGACGGUACCUGACUAAGAAGCACCGGCUAAAUACGUGCUAGCAACCGCGGUAAUCUGAGCGGGCUGGCAAGGC